AGUGAACGCUGGCGGUAGGCCUAACACAUGCAAGUCGAACGGCAGCACAGUAAGAGCUUGCUCUUACGGGUGGCGAGUGGCGGACGGGUGAGGAAUACAUCGGAAUCUACUUUUUCGUGGGGGAUAACGUAGGGAAACUUACGCUAAUACCGCAUACGACCUACGGGUGAAAGCAGGGGAUCUUCGGACCUUGGGCGAUUGAAUGAGCCGAUGUCGGAUUAGCUAGUUGGCGUGGUAAAGGCCCACCAAGGCGACGAUCCGUAGCUGGUCUGAGAGGAUGAUCAGCCACACUGGAACUGAGACACGGUCCAGACUCCUACGGGAGGCAGCAGUGGGGAAUAUUGGGCAAUGGGCGAAAGCCUGAUCCAGCCAUACCGCGUGGGUGAAGAAGGCCUUCGGGUUGUAAAGCCCUUUUGUUGGGAAAGAAAAGCAGCAGGUUAAUACCCCGAUGUUCUGACGGUACCCAAAGAAUAAGCACCGGCUAACUUCGUG
rnacentral:rRNA from 1 species